AGCAGCAGCCGCGGUAACACGUAGGGUGCAAGCGUUAAUCGGAAUUACUGGGCGUAAAGCGUGCGCAGGCGGUUAUAUAAGACAGAUGUGAAAUCCCCGGGCUCAACCUGGGAACUGCAUUUGUGACUGUACAGCUAGAGUACGGCAGAGGGGGAUGGAAUUCCGCGUGUAGCAGUGAAAUGCGUAGAUAUGCGGAGGAACACCGAUGGCGAAGGCAAUCCCCUGGGCCUGUACUGACGCUCAUGCACGAAAGCGUGGGGAGCAAACAGGAUUAGAUACCCCGGUAGUCCCUGUCUCUUAUAC
rnacentral:rRNA from 1 species